UACGUAGGGUCCGAGCGUUGUCCGGAAUUACUGGGCGUAAAGAGCUCGUAGGUGGUUUGUCGCGUUGUCCGUGAAAACUCACAGCUCAACUGUGGGCGUGCGGGCGAUACGGGCAGGCUAGAGUCAGGUAGGGGAGAACGGAAUUCCUGGUGUAGCGGUGAAAUGCGCAGAUAUCAGGAGGAACACCGGUGGCGAAGGCGGUUCUCUGGGCCUGUACUGACGCUGAGGAACGAAAGCGUGGGGAGCGAACAGG
rnacentral:rRNA from 1 species